CUUGCUUUCUUUGCUGGCGACCGGCGCACGGGUGAGUAACACGUAUCCAACCUGCCCUUUACUCGGGGAUAGCCUUUCGAAAGAAAGAUUAAUACCCGAUAGUAUAACGAUUCCGCAUGGUUUCAUUAUUAAAGGAUUCCGGUAAAGGAUGGGGAUGCGUUCCAUUAGGUUGUUGGUGAGGUAACGGCUCACCAAGCCUUCGAUGGAUAGGGGUUCUGAGAGGAAGGUCCCCCACAUUGGAACUGAGACACGGUCCAA
rnacentral:rRNA from 1 species